UCAAAGUCACUGCAGGGCUGUUCCCGCGCCCUCCGUGCACCCGCUACUUUGCCUGACAUCGCCGCCCAGGAGGGGCGCGGCCGCAGGGUCAGGGGUGCAGGGGAGGGGUCCUGAGGGUCCCUCGUCCUUCUGAGAGGCUCCUCUGCUGCAGACCAGUCUUCACACCCCCCGGAGCACCAGCGGUGGGAUCCGUGGCCGCUGCACCGUCGCCGGGAAGCUGUGAGGUCCGAUCCGCGCCCGUUCCCAGUGUCUGCCACGUGCGGGCGCCCCUCUCGGCAGGCUCUGCCCGUGUGGGGUCACUCGGCACCCCUUCCGCUCAACCCAGACCGGCACAGAAACCCGGGGGGGGGGCUCCGUCGGGAAGCCUGUGUGGGGAGCACUGCGUCCAGCAGUUCGAGCUGAGCGGCCCUCGGGCUCCCCUGCCGUCCGGCCAGAAGGGCUGUCAGGAGACGGCGAGUCCGUCCCCUCACCUCACAGGGGCGCCCGGACGGCCCCCAGCCUGGCCCCUGGAGGGGAUGGGGGGGGACGCAGGCCUCCCCUUGGCCGGGCCCCCUCCUCCCUGGGUGGUGAAGCCACGUCUGCGAGACAGCUGGGCACAGGGGACCGUCCUCGAGCGGCUGGAGGAGCCGACGGUGGUGGCUAUGGGAUGAGUGGGGGGAAUGACGGUCAGGACACAAAAAGCUACAGAUCGUGGGGACUGUUCCUGAACGGGAGACCCUCAGAGAGAUUGUGGAGCAACGAGGCUGUGGUGCCCCUUCCCCCACGGCCACCAGCCACUGUCCCCAGACCAUGUGCUGAAUGACCCAAACCCUCCUUCAUGUAUCUGUCGUGGCGCCUGCGUCAGGUUUCCUGCCGGAAGUGCGCCAACAGUUCCUACGGGAGCCUGUGCUGCCGACGAGGCAGGUACGUCAGAGAAGGAACCGGAUAUAGAAUCCUUCCAGAAUGAUCCGAUGAACACACCCAGGUCCUCGUGCUGUUGCUCAAGGGAACCCUGGAAGACAACGCCCCUUCCCCCAGGCUGCGUGGCCUGUGGGACGUCAGGCCGGGAAGACAGCCGGGCAGCCCUUCCUUCCUCCUCCUCCUCCCCCUCCCCACGCCCAGCGGGCGCCUGUCCGAGGCACAGCCAGGCCACGGUCACCAGCACUCACUGACCGGCUCUUUCCCAGGCGAGUUGUGCCGAAAUGCUCGCUUAGUCCUGUAAGCAGCCCGUGUAAAAGAAAGAGCAGGCGCAACUGCAGUUUCUCAUGACGCAAAUCUCCCGGACCGAGAAUCCUGGGGCUGAGACCGAAGCAGACUGUAUUCCCCACAAACCACCGUGCCCUUGCUCUGCGCCUCAAAGCAGGGCCCAGGGGGACGUUCUAGUCCAGCCUCCUCCAGGCAGCUCUGAAAACCAUGAAACACUUUUGGGGGGGUCAAUAAUUAUUAUGUGCUACUAAAACAGUAAGGUUAACUCCAGCCCUUAAAAUAUGUUUUAAGCCGUAAUGAAGUUUAACGAAGCAACCUAGAGUCAAAGAUCAAAAGUGGCCUUGUGACACUUCCAUCCUCUCUUCCAAGUGGUGUGUCCCCGUCGCACAAGCCGCGUGCACUCAGCAAACCUGCCUGUACCGCAUCUCCCGGCAUUUGGAAGCCGGGUGUGGCUUUGAUGAACAGCGCAGAAUCCUUUUCAAAUGAUUUAAUGUAAGCUAGAAGCAAGAUAAUUUUAUUGAACUUUAUUUUCUGCACUUUACAUUAUGAAAUGAUGGGUGGUUUUUUUUUCCUUCUCCAAAUACAAACUUUUGGAUUCUGUAUCUUUUAUAGGCACCAUUUUUGUUGAAUUGUAAUUUACACGCUAUAAGAUUCACCCACUUACAGUAUAUAAUUCAAUGGUUUUAAUAUAUUCACAGAGUGUACAACCACCAUCACAAAGUUUAGAACAUUUUUGUCACCCCCAAAUGAAGCCCUCUACCCCCAAGCAGGUCUCCCCCACCCCAGCCUAGGCAACCGUGAGUCUACUUCCUGUCUCUAUGGAUCUGCCAACUAUGACCAUUUCACGUAAGUGGACUCUUAUGAUAUGUGGGACCGGCUUCUUUCACGUAGCACAAAGUUUUCAUGACUCAUCUCCUUUGUAUCACUACUUCCUUCUUAAGGCUGAAUAAUAGUCCAUUGUAAGAAUGAACCACAUUUUAUGGGCACAUAUUCAUCAGUGGAUGGAUGCUUGGGUUGGCUCCAUGUUUUGGCUACUAUGAAUAAUGCUUUUACAAACGUUCACGUACAAGUUUUUGUGCGGACAUAUGUUUUCAUGCAGACAUAUGUUUUCAUUCCCCUUGGGUAGAUACUUAGGAGAAUUGCUGGGUCACGUGGUAACUCAAUGUUGAACACUUUGAGGAGCCGCCGGGCUGUUUUUCCAGUGGCUCCACCACUGCAUGCACAUUCCCGCCAGUAGCCCAUAGGGUUCCCCACGUCCGCACCAACAUGCAUCAUUAUCUAUCUGUUCUAUUACAUCCUUCUUAGUGGGUGUGAAGUGAUGU